UAAUACGGGGGGGACUAGCGUUGUUCGGAUUUACUGGGCGUAAAGGGCGUGUAGGCGGGCUUAUAAGUCGGAUGUGAAAACUGGCGGCUCAACUGUCAGCCUGCAUCCGAUACUGUAGGUCUUGAGUACGGGAGAGGAGAGCGGAAUUCCAGGUGUAGCGGUGAAAUGCGUAGAUAUCUGGAAGAACACCCGUAGCGAAGGCGGCUCUCUGGCCCGAUACUGACGCUAAGGUGCGAAGGCUUGGGUAGCAAACAGGAUUAGAUACCCUGGUAGUCCAAGCGGUAAACGAUGGGCACUAGGUGUCGGGGGUAUCGAUCCCCUCGGUGCCGCAGCUAACGCAUUAAGUGCCCCGCCUGGGGAGUACGGUCGCAAGAUUG
rnacentral:rRNA from 1 species